GACGAACGCUGGCGGCGUGCUUAACACAUGCAAGUCGAACGGAAAGGCCCCUUUGGGGGUCCUCGGGUGGCGAACGGGGGAGGAACACGUGAGUAACCUGCCCUUGACUUCGGGAUAACGUCAGGAAACUGGGGCUAAUGCCGGAUAGGAAUCCUUUCUGCAUGGGGGGGGUUGGAAAGCUUCGGCGGUUUUUGAUGUACUCGCGGGUUAGCAGCUUGUUGGUGUGGUAGUGGCUUACCAAGGCUUUUACGGGGAGCCGGCCUGAGGGGGCGACCGGCCACAUUGGGACUGAGAUACGGCCCAGACUCCUACGGGAGGCAGAAGUGGGGAAUAUUGACCAAUGGGCGGCAGCCUGAUGCAGAAACGCCGCGGGCGGGAUGACGGCCUUAGGGUUGUAAACCGCUUUCAGCAGGGGCGAAGCUUGUGGUGACGGUACCUGCAGAAGAAGCACCGGCUAACUACGUG
rnacentral:rRNA from 1 species